rnacentral:rRNA from 1 species
GAUGAACGCUGGCGGCAGGCCUAACACAUGCAAGUCGAACGGAUCCUUCGGGAUUAGUGGCGGACGGGUGAGUAACGCGUGGGAACAUACCCUUUGGUACGGAAUAGCCUCGGGAAACUGGGAGUAAUACCGUAUGUGGUCGAGAGACGAAAGAUUUAUCGCCAAAGGAUUGGCCCGCGUUGGAUUAGGUAGUUGGUGGGGUAAUGGCCUACCAAGCCGACGAUCCAUAGCUGGUUUGAGAGGAUGAUCAGCCACACUGGGACCGAGACACGGCCCAGACUCCUACGGGAGGCAGCAGUGGGGAAUCUUAGACAAUGGGGGAAACCCUGAUCUAGCCAUGCCGCGUGAUCGAUGAAGGCCUUAGGGUUGUAAAGAUCUUUCAGGUGGGAAGAUAAUGACUGUACCACCAGAAGAAGCCCCGGCUAACUCCGUGCCAGCCGCCGCGGUAAUAC